rnacentral:rRNA from 1 species
GCUCAACCGUGGAGGGUCAUUGGAAACUGGGAAACUUGAGUGCAGAAGAGGAAAGUGGAAUUCCAUGGGUAGCGGUGAAAUGCGCAGAGAUAUGGAGGAACACCAGUGGCGAAGGCGACUUUCUGGUCUGUAACUGACGCUGAUGUGCGAAAGCGUGGGGAUCAAACAGGAUUAGAUACCCUGGUAGUCCACGCCGUAAACGAUGAGUGCUAAGUGUUAGGGGGUUUCCGCCCCUUAGUGCUGCAGCUAACGCAUUAAGCACUCCGCCUGGGGAGUACGACCGCAAGGUUGAAACUCAAAGGAAUUGACGGGAACCCGCACAAGCGGUGGAGCAUGUGGUUUAAUUCGAAGCAACGCGAAGAACCUUACCAAAUCUUGACAUCCUUUGACCACUCUAGAGAUAGAGCUUUCCCCUUCGGGGGACAAAGUGACAGGUGGUGCAUGGUUGUCGUCAGCUCGUGUCGUGAGAUGUUGGGUUAAGUCCCGCAACGAGCGCAACCCUUAAGCUUAGUUGCCAUCAUUAAGUUGGGCACUCUAGGUUGACUGCCGGUGACAAACCGGAGGAAGGUGGGGAUGACGUCAAAUCAUCAUGCCCCUUAUGAUUUGGGCUACACACGUGCUACAAUGGACAAUACAAAG